AAUAAGUGCAAUUUUACACUAUUCAUAUCCAACGUUUCACCGUUCGUCUUAUUUGAAUUUUUUUUAUGAUUACUAUUUUUAUUGUUAUUAGAUGAUAAAACAUGAAUAGAACUUUAUGUGUGACUAUUUUUUUAAAAAAAAUUCAUAAAAUUUUCAAAUAAAACGGACGGUCAAACGUUGGACACGGAUUUCUACGGCUGUAUUUAUU
rfam:Oryza sativa Japonica Group DNA, chromosome 11, cultivar: Nipponbare, complete sequence.